rnacentral:lncRNA from 1 species
CAUAACUGAAACUUUGUAUUCUAAAGCACUCAGAGUGCAUUCAGGAGCAGGACAAAAGACAGCCUCUGACUGAAGUCCUCUGGAGUCCCUGUGAAGAUUUAUGUGAUUUUUCUGCAGCUUAUGAUGUGGCAGAAUGGGCAGUUUAUGAUGUGGGUGGAACUUUGUUCAACACAUGAAAACGACUCCAUUCUCCAGAUGACAUUCUCCUGUGGUAGGCAGCAGAGCCUUCUGCCCUCCAUAUGGCCACCAUGUGCCAGUAUACACCAAAUUGGUGCGACUCAAGGCCUGGAUGUGAAGUAUUUUAUGAUUUUGGCCUUGCCAUGGGUAUCUCAAAACCGACCCCCCGUGCUUUGUCCUGACUGCUGAGAUAAACUGGAGCUCAGAAGCAAGUGGUUGCUGGCUGUGCCUAUGGAAAGGCUCAGGACAGGGCACAGCACACAGCUGCUGACUGCUGCUGUGCUGUGGUGCAGCAGGUCCCCAGCUCUUCACAAGGAUCCCUAUAGAUGCAAGAUUUCUGAGGAGGUGAGUUCAGUGGGAGGGAUUUCUCAAACAGGGUGUGCUUAUAAUAAUAAAUGGCUUCUCCUUUAUACUUUGGGCAUUUGGAUUACUGCUGGGCAUAGUUCCCAAUGCUAUUUUGUGUGUGCG